rnacentral:rRNA from 1 species
CUCAAUGAAAUUUAAAUAGCCGCAAUUUAUUUGUGCUAAGGUAGCAUAAUCAUUUGUCUUUUAAUUAAAGACUAGAACAAAAGAUUUAACAUUUUUAUUUCUUUCUUAUAUAUAACUUUUUAAUUUAUCUUAAAUAUAAAAAGAUAUUUAUUUCGCAAAAAGACGACAAGACCCUAUUGAACUUAACUAAAGUUAAACUGGGGCAGUUAAUCAAAUAUAAUUUUAAUUUAAAUUUUUAAAAACAUCUAAUAAAAUUAAAUUUAUCAAGUUACCAUAGGGAUAACAGCGUAAUAAUUUUCUAUAGAUCUUAUUUAAAAAAUAAUUUGCGACCUCGAUGUUGAAUUAAUAAUCUAUUAAAUGCAAUAAUUUAAAAAGAAAGUCUGUUCGACUU